rnacentral:rRNA from 1 species
UCAGAGUUUGAUCCUGGCUCAGAACGAACGCUGGCGGCAGGCUUAACACAUGCAAGUCGAGCGCCCCGCAAGGGGAGCGGCAGACGGGUGAGUAACGCGUGGGAAUCUACCCAUCACUACGGAACAACUCCGGGAAACUGGAGCUAAUACCGUAUACGUCCUUCGGGAGAAAGAUUUAUCGGUGAUGGAUGAGCCCGCGUUGGAUUAGCUAGUUGGUGGGGUAAUGGCCUACCAAGGCGACGAUCCAUAGCUGGUCUGAGAGGAUGAUCAGCCACACUGGGACUGAGACACGGCCCAGACUCCUACGGGAGGCAGCAGUGGGGAAUAUUGGACAAUGGGCGAAAGCCUGAUCCAGCCAUGCCGCGUGAGUGAUGAAGGCCCUAGGGUUGUAAAGCUCUUUCAACGGUGAAGAUAAUGACGGUAACCGUAGAAGAAGCCCCGGCUAACUUCGUGCCAGCAGCCGCGGUAAUACGAAGGGGGCUAGCGUUGUUCGGAUUUACUGGGCGUAAAGCGCACGUAGGCGGACUAUUAAGUCA